rnacentral:tRNA from 1 species
GGUUCUAUGGUGUCAUGGUGAGCACUCUGGACUCUGAAUCCAGCGAUCCGAGUUCGAGUCUUGGUAGAACCU